rnacentral:tRNA from 2 species
GGCCUCUUAGUUAAAUGGAUAUAAUGGCCCCCUCCUAAGGGGCAGUUGCAGGUUCGAUUCCUGCAGGGGCUACCA